GAUGAACGCUGGCGGCGUGCCUAAUACAUGCAAGUCGAGCGAAUGGAUUAAGAGCUUGCUCUUAUGAAGUUAGCGGCGGACGGGUGAGUAACACGUGGGUAACCUGCCCAUAAGACUGGGAUAACUCCGGGAAACCGGGGCUAAUACCGGAUAACAUUUUGAACCGCAUGGUUCGAAAUUGAAAGGCGGCUUCGGCUGUCACUUAUGGAUGGACCCGCGUCGCAUUAGCUAGUUGGUGAGGUAACGGCUCACCAAGGCAACGAUGCGUAGCCGACCUGAGGGGGUGAUCGGCCAGACUGGGACUGAGACACGGCCCAGACUCCUACGGGAGGCAGCAGUAGGGAAUCUUCCGCAAUGGACGAAAGUCUGACGGAGCAACGCCGCGUGAGUGAUGAAGGCUUUCGGGUCGUAAAACCCUGUUGUUAGGGAAGAACAAGUGCUAGUUGAAUAAGCUGGCACCUUGACGGUACCUAACCAGAAAGCCACGGCUAACUACGUGCCAGCCGCCGCGGUAA
rnacentral:rRNA from 1 species